rnacentral:rRNA from 1 species
UACGUAGGGUGCAAGCGUUGUCCGGAAUUAUUGGGCGUAAAGAGCUCGUAGGCGGUUUGUCGCGUCUGCUGUGAAAACUCGGGGCUUAACUCCGGGCCUGCAGUGGGUACGGGCAGACUAGAGUGCGGUAGGGGAGACUGGAAUUCCUGGUGUAGCGGUGAAAUGCGCAGAUAUCAGGAGGAACACCGGUGGCGAAGGCGGCAUUCUGGACCGAAACUGACGCUGAUGCGCGAAAGCCAGGGGAGCAAACGGG